rnacentral:rRNA from 1 species
UACGUAGGGAGCAAGCGUUGUCCGGAAUCAUUGGGCGUAAAGCGCGCGUAGGUGGCUUCGUAAGUCCGUUGUGAAAGUCAAAGGCUCAACCUUUGAAAGCCGAUGGAUACUGUGGAGCUAGAGUACGGAAGAGGCGAGUGGAAUUCCUGGUGUAGCGGUGGAAUGCGCAGAUAUCAGGAGGAACACCAAUGGCGAAGGCAGCUCGCUGGGACGUGACUGACGCUGAGACGCGAAAGCGUGGGGAGCAAACAGG